UGGGAAUUUGGACAAUGGGGCAACCUGAUCCAGCAAUGCCGCGUGUGUGAAGAAGGCCUUCGGGUUGUAAAGCACUUUUGUCCGGAAAGAAAACGCCGUGGUUAAUACCCGUGGCGGAUGACGGUACCGGAAGAAUAAGCACCGGCUAACUACGUGCCAGCAGCCGCGGUAAUACGUAGGGUGCAAGCGUUAAUCGGAAUUACUGGGCGUAAAGCGUGCGCAGGCGGUCCGCUAAGACAGAUGUGAAAAUCCCCCGGGCUUAACCUGGGAACUGCAUUUGUGACUGGCGGGCUAGAGUAUGGCAGAGGGGGGUAGAAUUCCACGUGUAGCAGUGAAAUGCGUAGAGAUGUGGAGGAAUACCGAUGGCGAAGGCAGCCCCCUGGGCCAAUACUGACGCUCAUGCACGAAAGCGUGGGGGAGCAAACAGGAUUAGAUACCCUGGUAGUCCACGCCCUAAACGAUGU
rnacentral:rRNA from 1 species